rnacentral:rRNA from 1 species
UACAGAGGGGGCAAGCGUUAUUCGGAAUUAUUGGGCGUAAAGGGCGCGUAGGCGGCUUGGCAAGUGGAUGGUGAAAUCCCUCGGCUUAACCGAGGAACUGCCGUCCAAACUGCUUUGCUUGAGACCGGGAGAGGUGAGUGGAAUUCCCAGUGUAGCGGUGAAAUGCGUAGAUAUUGGGAGGAACACCAGUGGCGAAGGCGGCUCACUGGACCGGUACUGACGCUGAGGUGCGAAAGCGUGGGGAGCAAACAGG